GUUACAAGCCAGACGCGGUGGUUGAUUUGGGGAGGGGGGUAACAUUUGUCUCGGAGCGGAGCGUGGGAGCGACGCAUCCUCUCUCGCAGCUGAGGCCCUCGAAGCGCCCCCCAGAGGCUGUGGCAGUUUCCUGUCUGUGUGUAUUUUUAGCAAGGCCCAUUCUCAUCUCGCAGCUGCUUCAGGAAGCGCCCCGAUAAGGGUCCUCGGCCACGUCACACAGAAGAUGAAACUGGCUGUCUCCCACAUGCCUACAGCCAGCUCUGAGAGGUGCAGUGGGGCUGCAGUGGGGCUGCAGUGCAGGGCUCUGGGGGUCCCUCAUUACACGGCCCCAGGGUGUGAGUGAAAAGAGCAUGGAGCUUUCAGACAGACGUCACACGCCUCCGAGACAAAGAAGCCAACAGGAAAGCCAGACCUCGUUACAGCUAAGUUCCUCGUUAUCUGCCUUGAGUCAAGUACAGAAGAGGAAUGUAAUUUAAAAUGGACUUUCACAGUGCUUUGGUUAGUCCUUCCGUUCAGGUGUAAAUCUUCUGUCUUUGCCGUGACCUGGUUGCUAACCUUCCUUGUGACGUAUCCCGGGAGACGGGACUCGGCCGCACGAUGCAGAUGGCCGCUGGCAGUGGCGGCCUGGUUCCCUCAUUAUCAUCUGGGAAUGUGACAUAGACGGGGCGAGCCGUCACUCGCUGCCGCCGCCUUCAUCGCGGAUGCUGUUGGAUCAUACGCGAGGGACGAUGGCAUGAGGGGACCCUUGGGACGGGCUUGUGAAAUCCCCUCUCAAGUGGUACCUCGCUGUAGAGUCCAAGAGCGGAAUCUUCUACUGCUGAUCUCUGCACGCCACAAAAUCCUUCAUGGGAAGCAAAUGCAAUAUACCAGUGUGAAAAAGUAACUGAUGGAAUUGUAAACAUUCACAAGGAAACACGUCAAAAGAGGAAUUUUAUUUAUUUAUUUCUAUUUAAAAAUUCCACCAAAGGAAUCUCAAUAUAUCAAUGCCUAACCUGAACAAAUGUAUUGUUCUCUAAGUGCAUUUAGUUUUAGAUUUUGAUCUACUGUCCCUAAAGAAAUAUGAUAAGCACAUAAAAACAAGCAAUAACAGAGGGUUUGCCUCUUUAGGAUGUCAGAAACACAUCUGGAGAAAUGACACGGAUUAUCAGACGGGCGGCUCUGAGCCUGACGGGCUGGCAUAGAUUUAUCAGGAAUAAACACGCCUGCACACACACAUGUAACACGCUGCAAACAUGCUUUCUCUUAGCGUGACUUUGAUAGUGCCGUAAUGGGGUUUGCCGGAAGACAGCUUCCUAUCAAAGGCGGGAAGCGUGCGGAACAUUGCGGUGAUAUUACCCCAAGACGAUGCAGAUCGGACGGAUGGCGCUUUAUUAAGGUCCCCUUACGCUAUGAACAAAAUGAAAAAAGGGAGGGAAAAACGGCGCUGGUGUAUGAGCGGGAAAAUGAGGCGGUGCUGUUUGAAAAAUGAAACGCGGAUGAGAUGGGAAAUAAAUCAAUAGGAUUCAGAGGCUUUUCGGGAACGGCGGAAUGAGGCCAGAGUUAGAAACACAAGGCGAUGCUUUUGGGAAAUAAUUAAUUCUGUUUUUUUUUUAGAAGAAAAAAAAAAACACGAGAAACAGUGUGCAAAUGUAUUCAUGGUGCUCUAAUGUCCCUCACGGAAAUACAUGUGAAUGGAAUCACAGGGUGGAUCGCUCGUUGGCCUUCUCCACGGUGUGGAUUCCCUGGGUGGAGCGUUCCUGUGUCAAAUGUGUGUGUCCAGGUCUGUUUUCUCUGGGAACUUCGGCUUCCGCCUGCGCUUGAUGAGGGGGAUUUCACACGUAUUAAGGAUAAUAAUAAUAAUAAUUAUUAUUAUUAUUAUUAUGCAAUUGUCUUUAUUUUUUAUUAUUGACAAUAACAGUGUCAGUAACAAAAAUAAUAUUAAUAUAAUAAUAAUAACAAUAAUAAUAAAGAUGGUGAUGAUGAAGAUGUUGAAGAUGAUGAUGGAAUAUCACAGCGCUUACCCUUGGACAUGUUUUUCUCUUUGUGUUGUCUCCAAGCAGACAGUCUCCGUUGAUGCGUCUCUCUAAAAGCCGACCAAUCGCUGUGUUGUAUUAUUCAAUUCGAAAGCGAUCGAUGCGCUCGGCCGCAGGCGGACGGCAGAAGUGUAUUAACCACCCAGCUUAAGAAUAACGACCCCCCCCCCCCGAAACUCAGAGAUGACUCCAUCGAGAUGAGAGGUUCUCAACUGUCGGAACGUUACUUUCACAUCAGAGUAUUUCUGAGAAGCAGGAAAAAUGAAGUCAACAUUCAUCCUUCCUGGAGACACAUCUGAUGUCUGUUGAUGGUCAGAAGUGUAUCUUUCUGAUGAUGGUCUUACUGGGAGAUCUUGCAUUCUUUCCCUCACAAACCUAACAACCGACACCAAAGGUUUUUUUAUUAAGUUAUAUAUAUAUAUAUAUAUAUAUAUAUAUAUAUAUAGAGAGAGAGAGAGAGAGAGAGAUAGACAUACAA